CUCCUACCAUACCCCACAACCACCGCACUGUCACCAAUGCCACCAUGCACGGCACGCAGAGGGGCAUCCCCACAGGAGCGCAGCCUCACAAGAGGCUGAAUCGUGUGUGCCCACAGAAGAAAACGGCCAAAAACCCUGAGAUGGACAAAUGAAGCCAGUGGGCGAUAGUAGAAUGGUGAUUUGAAAAAUCUGAAUUUUCAACAUUAAGGUUACAAGAUUUGAUAUUCUUAAACCCCAUAAACACGAGUUUCUCUAGGAAAAUAACAUUACUAUAAUUACAGUAUUGCA